rnacentral:rRNA from 1 species
GACGAACGCUGGCGGCGUGCUUAACACAUGCAAGUCGAACGGUGAAGCGCCUUCCUUUUUGGUGGGUGUGGAUGAGUGGCGAACGGGUGAGUAACACGUGGGUAACCUGCCCCCUUCUUCUGGAUAACCGCAUGAAAGUGUGGCUAAUACGGGAUAUUCUGGGUCUGUCGCAUGAUGGGUCUGGGAAAGAUAUUGUUUCGGUGGGGGAUGGGCUCGCGGCCUAUCAGCUUGUUGGUGGGGUGAUGGCCUACCAAGGCGGUGACGGGUAGCCGGCCUGAGAGGGUGGACGGUCACACUGGGACUGAGGCACGGCCCAGACUCCUACGGGAGGCAGCAGUGGGGAAUAGUGCACAAUGGGCGCAAGCCUGAUGCAGCGACGCCGCGUGAGGGAUGGAGGCCUUCGGGUUGUGAACCUCUUUCGCCAGUGAAGCAGGCCUGCCUCGUUUGUGGGUGGGUUGACGGUAGCUGGAGAAGAAGCGCCGGCUAACUACGUG